rfam:Trichoderma virens Gv29-8 TRIVIscaffold_90, whole genome shotgun sequence.
GACACUUUGGCCGAGUGGUUAAGGCGAUGCCCUGCUAUCUACAGGUAUCAUAGGCAUUGUGUUCGCACGCGCAGGUUCGAAUCCUGCAGGUGUCG